rnacentral:rRNA from 1 species
UACGUAGGUGGCAAGCGUUGUCCGGAUUUACUGGGCGUAAAGAGCGCGUAGGCGGCCGUGCAAGCCCGGUGUGAAAGCCCCCGGCUCAACUGGGGAGGGUCACGCGAUACUGCUCGACUCGAAGGCAGGAGAGGGAAGUGGAAUUCCCGGUGUAGUGGUGAAAUGCGUAGAUAUCGGGAGGAACACCAGUGGCGAAGGCGACUUCCUGGCCUGUUCUUGACGCUGAGGCGCGAAAGCUAGGGGAGCAAACGGG